rnacentral:rRNA from 1 species
CCUACGGGCGGCAGCAGUGGGGAAUAUUGCACAAUGGGCGCAAGCCUGAUGCAGCCAUGCCGCGUGUGAAGAAGGCCUUCGGGUUGUAAAGCACUUUCAGCGGGGAGGAAGGCGUUAAGGUUAAUAACCUUGUCGAUUGACGUUACCCGCAGAAGAAGCACCGGCUAACUCCGUGCCAGCAGCCGCGGUAAUACGGAGGGUGCAAGCGUUAAUCGGAAUUACUGGGCGUAAAGCGCACGCAGGCGGUCUGUCAAGUCGGAUGUGAAAUCCCCGGGCUCAACCGGGGAACUGCAUUCGAAACGGGCAGGCUAGAGGCUUGUAGAGGGGGGUGGAAUUCCAGGUGUAGCGGUGAAAUGCGUAGAGAUCUGGAGGAACACCGGUGGCGAAGGCGGCCCCCUGGACAAAGACUGACGCUCAGGUGCGAAAGCGUGGGGAGCAAACAGGAUUAGAUACCCCGGUAGUC